rnacentral:rRNA from 1 species
UACGUAGGGUGCGAGCGUUAAUCGGAAUUACUGGGCGUAAAGCGUGCGCAGGCGGCUUCCUAAGUCAGAUGUGAAAUCCCCGGGCUUAACCUGGGAACUGCGUUUGAAACUGGGGGGCUAGAGUGCGGCAGAGGGGGGUGGAAUUCCACGUGUAGCAGUGAAAUGCGUAGAUAUGUGGAGGAACACCGAUGGCGAAGGCAGCCCCCUGGGCCUGCACUGACGCUCAUGCACGAAAGCGUGGGGAGCAAACAGG